rnacentral:lncRNA from 1 species
UGAGCGUUUAUAAUCCUACCACAAUCACAUAUACAUGCUUAUUAGACUAUGAACCAUACAUUUACUUUUUACUACUUAUGAGCACUGAGUGUGGUCAAGCUGUGUAGACCCUUAGGAGCUUGUCAUGCGGUUAAAAUCAAGAUUCACUUGCACGUUCACUCUUACAUGCUGCUUCUACUCCAGAAGUACACAUCCACAUACAUCCACUCAUUUCCAUCUCCAGAUUCACCCAAAAUUAUUCUACCCCUAUCCAGGAGAGAAUAGCCAAAAACAUUAUCUUAUCCCUGUUAUUCCCCGUGAAAUAAAUGCUCAAGAUAUUUUGGUUACUACCAAUUGCUACAUUAUUCCAGGAGGGUGAGUUAUCUAAAAAAAAUGAAUACGAGGAAAUAAAAAGGGGCAAGUGCCCGGAACCUCGAAGAAAAUAAAAAAGUGAGACGAGAGGUAAAAAUGGACAAGUGUCCGACAGUAGAAUUUGGGGUACAAGAUACCCACCUGAGAGAAAAGAAAAAGAAAAUAAAGAGCAUCUAAUUCUCCUCAAAAAGCUUCAAAAUGCAAGAAAGGUAUGUAUCCCCUCAAAAGAGCAAAAGUAGAAUUAGACUUUCACCAUUGUUU